ACAAAAGGUGACAAUGUCUUAUAAACAGACUGUAUCUCGAAGAAAUCCACAUGAAAUUUUGUUGUUAUUAAUCCAAAGUUUCAGCUCUUUAAAACCUAUUAUAAAUUGUGAAAUUAUGUUGAUUCAGUUUCCAUACAAGAAAAAUAAGAUGAUUUGGAUGAUGGAUCACAGGAACAAGAUGACUGAUGAUUUGACUCUUGUCGUUCGUUCAUUUCAAAAGCAUCACUACAUAUUUCUCCGCAUUCAACUUCGAAAUUUUUGUCAUCAUAAUUACUUACUUUCCAGAAAGAUUGAUUCUAAAAAAUAGAACAUGUUAUUUACAAAAUUUACUUCUGUAGAAUAACAUGGUAAUAACAAAAGUGCAAUAUAGAAGAAAAU
rnacentral:lncRNA from 1 species